rnacentral:rRNA from 1 species
AGCUCCAAUAGCGUAUAUUAAAGUUGCUGCAGUUAAAAAGCUCGUAGUUGAAUUUCUGGUGGGAGGAUGUGGUGCAACGUAGUUGCUACUGGCAGCCUCCGGCCAUCCUUGGGUUUAGCCAUUCUGGCAUUAAGUUGUCGGGGUGGGGAUGCCCAUCGUUUACUGUGAAAAAAUUAGAGUGUUCAAAGCAGACUUAUGUCGUUGAAUAUAUUAGCAUGGAAUAAUAAGAUAGGACUACAGUGCUAUUUUGUUGGUUUGCGCACCGUGGUAAUGAUGAAUAGGGACAGUUGUGGGUAUUCGUAUUCACUUGUAAGAGGUGAAAUUCUUAGAUUAAGGGAAGACGAACAAAAGCGAAAGCAUUUACCAAGGAUGUUUUCA